rnacentral:rRNA from 1 species
UGAGGAAUAUUGGUCAAUGGGCGGCAGCCUGAGCCAGCCAUCCCGCGUGAAGGAAGAAUGCGCUAUGCGUUGUAAACUUCUUUUUCAGGGGGAUAAAAUUCUGUAUGUAUACAGGACUGAAGGUACCCUGAGAAUAAGCAUCGGCUAACUCCGUGCCAGCAGCCGCGGUAAUACGGAGGAUGCGAGCGUUAUCCGGAUUUAUUGGGUUUAAAGGGUGCGUAGGCGGAAUAAUAAGUCAGUGGUGAAACCCUGCAGCUUAACUGUAGACUUGCCAUUGAUACUGUUUUUCUUGAGUAUGGUCAAGGCAGGCGGAAUGUGUAAUGUAGCGGUGAAAUGCUUAGAUAUUACACAGAACACCGAUAGCGAAGGCAGCUUGCUGGGCCGUUACUGACGCUGAUGCACGAAAGCGUGGGGAUCGAACAG